GGGUUGUGAGGUUAAGCGACUAAGCGUACACGGUGGAUGCCCUGGCAGUCAGAGGCGAUGAAGGACGUGCUAAUCUGCGAUAAGCGUCGGUGAGGUGAUAUGAACCGUUAUAACCGGCGAUUUCCGAAUGGGGAAACCCAGUGUGUUUCGACACACUAUCAUUAACUGAAUCCAUAGGUUAAUGAGGCGAACCGGGGGAACUGAAACAUCUAAGUACCCCGAGGAAAAGAAAUCAACCGAGAUUCCCCCAGUAGCGGCGAGCGAACGGGGAGGAGCCCAGAGCCUGAAUCAGUGUGUGUGUUAGUGGAAGCGUCUGGAAAGGCGCGCGAUACAGGGUGACGGCCCCGUACACAAAAAUGCACAUAUAGUGAGCUCGAUGAUUAGAGCGGGACACGUGGUAUCCUGUCUGAAUAUAGGGGGACCAUCCUCCAAGGCUAAAUACUCCUGACUGACCGAUAGUGAACCAGUACCGUGAGGGAAAGGCGACAAGAACCCCGGCGAGGGGAGAGAAAAAGAACCUGAAACCAUGUACGUACAAGCAGUGAGAGCCUCUUUAUGGGGUGACUACGUAC
rnacentral:rRNA from 1 species